rnacentral:rRNA from 1 species
GACGAACGCUGGCGGCGUGCUUAACACAUGCAAGUCGAACGGAAAGGCCUCUUUCGGGGGGUACUCGAGUGGCGAACGGGUGAGUAACACGUGAGUAACCUGCCCUUGACUUUGGGAUAACUUCAGGAAACUGGGGCUAAUACCGGAUAGGAGCUCCUGCUGCAUGGUGGGGGUUGGAAAGUUUCGGCGGUUGGGGAUGGACUCGCGGCUUAUCAGCUUGUUGGUGGGGUAGUGGCUUACCAAGGCUUUGACGGGUAGCCGGCCUGAGAGGGUGACCGGCCACAUUGGGACUGAGAUACGGCCCAGACUCCUACGGGAGGCAGCAGGGGGGAAGAUUGCACAAGGGGUGGAAGCCUGAUGCAGCAACGCCGUGUGCGGGAUGACGGCCUUCGGGUUGGAAACCGCUUUCGCUCAUGACGAAGCUUUGUGUGACGGUAGUGGGUAAAGAAGCACCGGCUAACUACGUG